AAUUGGUAAAGGUAGUUGAACUGUAUUGUGCACCUUGCAUAGAGCUAAAGCACUAAAAAAGUAA
rnacentral:ncRNA from 2 species